CAGGUCUUGACAUCCUCUGAAAACCCUAGAGAUAGGGCUUCUCCUUCGGGAGCAGAGUGACAGGUGGUGCAUGGUUGUCGUCAGCUCGUGUCGUGAGAUGUUGGGUUAAGUCCCGCAACGAGCGCAACCCUUGAUCUUAGUUGCCAUCAUUAAGUUGGGCACUCUAAGGUGACUGCCGGUGACAAACCGGAGGAAGGUGGGGAUGACGUCAAAUCAUCAUGCCCCUUAUGACCUGGGCUACACACGUGCUACAAUGGACGGUACAAAGAGCUGCAAGACCGCGAGGUGGAGCUAAUCUCAUAAAACCGUUCUCAGUUCGGAUUGUAGGCUGCAACUCGCCUACAUGAAGCUGGAAUCGCUAGUAAUCGCGGAUCAGCAUGCCGCGGUGAAUACGUUCCC
rnacentral:rRNA from 3 species